GUUGGGCACUAAGACCCAUGGAGGAUAGAGUAAAUAUAAAGCCCAGUAGGAAGCAACUCAUUCAGUGUGGAGGUGCUGAAGAUUGCUUCGUGCAGUGACCUAGUCUUUCAGUGAUUUCUUCUUUAAUUACACUUUUAUUUUGCGUUGCCAUUUGUUUAUUUUCUUGCGAGAUGAGUAAGAGAUUCACAGUCACCUCGAUCCGUGGAGAAGACGAAGUGACAUGGGCUCAAAGCAACAUCACAGAGACAAGGAAAGGAGGCAGUGUUUCGAAUGAGAAUGAAUCACCAGACACAGCAGAGUACAGAGACCAUUCUCUCCUGACUAUACUGGAAGUUCCAAAGCCAGCGGCAGCUCACAGCUCUUUGUCUGUGCCUUUUUUUUCACCCAGCUCUGCACAGUCUCCACUUCUGACACCAUGUUUCAACUGAAUUGGACAGCAGUGUGUUCAAAACAUGGACUUUAUUGAAGUGCAGAUGCUGUCAGGCCUACUGAGUUUCUCCAGUAAUUUCUGCUUUUGUCCUGAGCAGCACCAACCCUGCGUGCCGUCUGCGUUGCCUACUCACUUGUUUGGCACACUUCCUCACCUGCAUCAACAGGUACAGCUGUGCCACCCGCUUUCAUCCCUUUGUAAUACCUGUGCUUCUUUCAUUCUGGUGGGGAGAGGGACAAGCAGCUUACAACAGGACAGAGAGAUUCAAACAGGGGCUGGGCCGUCUGACGUUCAGUUCCUCAUUCCCAACGUGGAGAACAUCCUGUCUUGAACUGCUGUGGGUGACUAACACACAGUUUCCAAGCCCUCAGAGCGGUCUCAGGCUACGGUUGACAUGUUGUGCUGGGACCCUUUGAGCAAAGGCCAUUCCGCUUGAUUGACUGAGCCUUGCUGACAGCUAUAACGACUUUCCUUCCUUUGUGUUUGCACUAAACUGCAAAGCAAGACAGGAGUAAUAGGAUCAGAGAUAGUAGGAACUGCAGAUACUGGUGAAUCCGAGACAACAAGGUGCAGGCCAAGCAGCAUCAUAGGAGCAGAAAGCCUUUCUGCUCCUAUGAUGCUGCUUGGCCUGCUGUGUUCAUCCAGCCCAGCACCUUGUUGUCUCAGAAGUAAUAGGAGUCUGGUAUGUCUGGUUGAAGGCCAAAGGGCAAAUAAGCAAGCAAUAUAAGGCAGAGAUGCUGUGAGCAUCCAGUUGGGUUCACACUGAGCGGGUGCUAUGACAGUGAGCAAAAAGCCUGGAGACACAGCCUGGUCCAGUCCAUGAGCUGGGUGUGAAUUAGAAUUUGAUUUUAUCAUCACUGAUCAAGGAUAUAGGAGUGCAGGGAAAUGUUUACAAUGUCACCAUUCUCAGCGCCAUCUUAGAUACAAGGGUACUUAGUUGCAAAAACUUAGGUACAACGUAGAAGUAUUAGGAGAUAUAGUUAAAAGCUCAACAUUGUGGUCCUUCUUAAGUGCUUAGCCAUGCUGGGCUCAAUCUCCCCCCAGGGGUUGAAUCUUCUCCAUGCUGGGCUUGCACUCCCCACAAGGGUUCAAUCUUCUCCAUGCUGGGCUCCAGCUCCCCACAAGCGUUCGAUCUUCUCCAUGCUGGGCUUGCACUCCCCACAAGGGUUCGAUCUUCUCCAUGCUGUGCUCGAUCUCCCCCACACUUGAUAACCACCGCAGAUGUUGGGGGAUCUCGGGCUGCCUGCUGUUACCACCACCCCUGCCCCCUCCCCCGCACCCAUCCCCCCACCCUCUCUGCCCUGGGCUCAAUCUCUCGCUCUCCCCCACGGUCUCUUGCUUUUCCCUGCACUGGGCUCGAUCUCCACCACACUGCACCAAAGUCGACUCCCUUCACUGUCGCCCGCCAGGAAGAAACCUUGCCUGAGACACAUUGGAAACCUUGAGACUGCUGAUCUCUCCACAGAAGAUGCUGCCAGACCUACUGAGCUCUCCCAGCAACUUUGUUUUUGUUCCUGAUUUACAGCAUCCACAGUUCUUUUGGUUUUUACUGGUGGUUUUAAUGGGUUUUAAUUCUGUACGGAGAGAAUGCUAUAUCGUCAAGAGUGCCAACAUUCACAUUUAAUCAGAAGGUAAGGUCGUCUCUAACAGUUCAGGUCAAUGUGAAACAUUCCAUGGAAAUAAUCAAAAGGCAGUAAUCCCAGUGCUCAACCAAAAUCCUUCUGUACCAGUUAUUAAAGCAUUCAGUCAUCC